CCUAACUUUGGUAUUUAGGUACACCCAUGUCUAACAACGCAUUGGUGCAACACUGUUCUCCUUUGAGAACAAACCCUGCCUGUUGGCUGUGAAAAACCAUCUACGGCUCUCGGAGAUGAGGUUCACAAGAUGCAUCACGAUGAUCCAGUUGGAAAUGCUGCUGAAUGUCAUCUUUGUUUCGGGUGGUGAGGGAUCCUGUCAUUCAGCCCUUCAUGCAUCUAUGCCAAACAAGAUGGAGGCAUUGAGCGACACUUGUUUGCAAAUUCCAUGCUCAUUUUAUUCUGUACCAUCAAAUCAAUUAGAUAAAACCAAACCCAUUUGGGGUGUAUGGCUCAAAUCGAC